UAACCGUAGGUGAACCUGCGGUUGGAUCAUUACUGUUUGAGGAGCCGCGCCGUUGUAGUGUUUGUUGGUUGGGGGGUGUCUGUUUGUAGUGUCUGGCACUGCAUACACGGACACUCAAACCCGCGCCAACAAUAGACGUCUUUGCUUGCUUUGAUGAAACCAAAUCAAAAACAACUUUUGACAACGGAUCUCUUGGCUCUCGCAUCGAUGAAGAACGCAGC
rnacentral:misc_RNA from 1 species